rnacentral:rRNA from 1 species
UUGAACGCUGGCGGCAGGCCUAACACAUGCAAGUCGAGCGGUAGCACAGAGAGCUUGCUCUCGGGUGACGAGCGGCGGACGGGUGAGUAAUGUCUGGGAAACUGCCUGAUGGAGGGGGAUAACUACUGGAAACGGUAGCUAAUACCGCAUAACGUCGCAAGACCAAAGUGGGGGACCUUCGGGCCUCAUGCCAUCAGAUGUGCCCAGAUGGGAUUAGCUAGUAGGUGGGGUAACGGCUCACCUAGGCGACGAUCCCUAGCUGGUCUGAGAGGAUGACCAGCCACACUGGAACUGAGACACGGUCCAGACUCCUACGGGAGGCAGCAGUGGGGAAUAUUGCACAAUGGGCGCAAGCCUGAUGCAGCCAUGCCGCGUGUGUGAAGAAGGCCUUCGGGUUGUAAAGCACUUUCAGCGGGGAGGAAGGCGGUGAGGUUAAUAACCUCAUCGAUUGACGUUACCCGCAGAAGAAGCACCGGCUAACUCCGUGCCAGCAGCCGCGGUAAUACGGAGGGUGCAAGCGUUAAUCGGAAUUACUGGGCGUAAAGCGCACGCAGGCGGUCUGUCAAGUCGGAUGUGAAAUCCCCGGGCUUAACCUGGGAACUGCAUUCGAAACUGGCAGGCUAGAGUCUUGUAGAGGGGGGUAGAAUUCCAGGUGUAGCGGUGAAAUGCGUAGAGAUCUGGAGGAAUACCGGUGGCGAAGGCGGCCCCCUGGACAAAGACUGACGCUCAGGUGCGAAAGCGUGGGGAGCAAACAGGAUUAGAUACCCUGGUAGUCCACGCCGUAAACGAUGUCGAUUUGGAGGUUGUGCCCUUGAGGCGUGGCUUCCGGAGCUGACGCGUUAAAUCGACCGCCUGGGGAGUACGGCCGCAAGGUUAAAACUCAAAUGAAUUGACGGGGGCCCGCACAAGCGGUGGAGCAUGUGGUUUAAUUCGAUGCAACGCGAAGAACCUUACCUGGUCUUGACAUCCACAGAACUUAGCAGAGAUGCUUUGGUGCCUUCGGGAACUGUGAGACAGGUGCUGCAUGGCUGUCGUCAGCUCGUGUUGUGAAAUGUUGGGUUAAGUCCCGCAACGAGCGCAACCCUUAUCCUUUGUUGCCAGCGGUCCGGCCGGGAACUCAAAGGAGACUGCCAGUGAUAAACUGGAGGAAGGUGGGGAUGACGUCAAGUCAUCAUGGCCCUUACGACCAGGGCUACACACGUGCUACAAUGGCAUAUACAAAGAGAAGCGACCUCGCGAGAGCAAGCGGACCUCAUAAAGUAUGUCGUAGUCCGGAUUGGAGUCUGCAACUCGACUCCAUGAAGUCGGAAUCGCUAGUAAUCGUAGAUCAGAAUGCUACGGUGAAUACGUUCCCGGGCCUUGUACACACCGCCCGUCACACCAUGGGAGUGGGUUGCAAAAGAAGUAGGUAGCUUAACCUUCGGGAGGGCGCUUACCACUUUGUGAUUCAUGACUGGGGUG